GGCCGAGACUUGAGCAACGUAAACCUAUAUUCAUCGAACCUCGAAGGAAUGUUGAGUUUGCGGAGACUAUGGAUGGCUUUUAUGAAAAAGUGAAAAGCACCAAGUUUAAAGGAGCGAUGUUUUUGGCUUUAUGUAGAGGAAAGAUCAUACAGAAGAAAAGUUAAAGGAAAAGACUGAGGAUGAUGCCAGUAAAGGAGAUGGCAAAGAAUCCGAUAGCAAUGUGCUGGAAAGUAACGAUGAAAGCUCUGUAAAGAAAACAUUGUAAAAAAUGCUUCACACGUGGAAUAUUAAAGUCAGAAAAUAAUGCUAUGGCAAAAUAUAGAGUUUGAAAUUUGAAGCGAUA